rnacentral:rRNA from 1 species
CAGCCGCCGCGGUAAUACGAAGGGGGCUAGCGUUGCUCGGAAUCACUGGGCGUAAAGGGUGCGUAGGCGGGUCCUUAAGUCAGGGGUGAAAUCCUGGAGCUCAACUCCAGAACUGCCUUUGAUACUGAAGAUCUUGAGUUCGGGAGAGGUGAGUGGAACUGCGAGUGUAGAGGUGAAAUUCGUAGAUAUUCGCAAGAACACCAGUGGCGAAGGCGGCUCACUGGCCCGAUACUGACGCUGAGGCACGAAAGCGUGGGGAGCAAACAGGAUUAGAUACCCGGGUAGUCCCUGUCUCUUAUAC